GGACAUAGCUCAGUUGGUAGAGUGUUUGCUUUGCAUGCACAAGGCCCUGGGUUCAAUCCCCAGUACCA
rnacentral:tRNA from 1 species